rnacentral:piRNA from 1 species
UAUCCACGCUGUGGGAAGCUUUUGCCUU